UGGGGAAUAUUGGGCAAUGGGCGCAAGCCUGACCCAGCAACGCCGCGUGAAGGAAGAAGGCUUUCGGGUUGUAAACUUCUUUUGACAGGGAAGAGCAGAAGGCGGUACCUGUCGAAUAAGCCACGGCUAACUACGUGCC
rnacentral:rRNA from 1 species